GUGCCAGCCGCCGCGGUAAAACGUAGGAGACAAGCGUUAUCCGAAUUUACUGGGCGUAAAGCGCGUGCAGGUGGUGCGGUAAGUUGCCUGUGAAAUCUCCUGGCUCAACUGGGAGAGGCCGGGCAAGACUGCCGGACUAGAGGGCGGUAGAGGGAGGUGGAAUUCCCGGUGUAGUGGUGAAAUGCGUAGAUAUCGGGAGGAACACCUGUGGCGAAAGCGGCCUCCUGGACCGCACCUGACGCUCAGACGCGAAAGCUAGGGGAGUGAACGGGAUUAGAAACCCCGGUAAUCCUAGCUGUAAACGAUGUGGACUGGGUGUCGGCGGGGUAAAAGCCGUCGGUGCCGAAGCCAACGCGAUAAGUCCACCGCCUGGGGACUACGGCCGCAAGGUUAAA
rnacentral:rRNA from 1 species